rnacentral:rRNA from 1 species
GAUGAACGCUGGCGGCGUGCUUAACACAUGCAAGUCGAACGGUGAAGGCGGAGCUUGCUCUGCUGGAUCAUUGGCGAACGGGUGAGUAACACGUGAGCAAUCUGCCCCUGACUCUGGGAUAAGCGCUGGAAACGGCGUCUAAUACUGGAUACGAGCUGCGAAGGCAUCUUCAGCAGCUGGAAAGAACUUCGGUCAGGGAUGAGCUCGCGGCCUAUCAGCUCGUUGGUGAGGUAACGGCUCACCAAGGCGUCGACGGGUAGCCGGCCUGAGAGGGUGACCGGCCACACUGGGACUGAGACACGGCCCAGACUCCUACGGGAGGCAGCAGUGGGGAAUAUUGCACAAUGGGCGAAAGCCUGAUGCAGCAACGCCGCGUGAGGGACGACGGCCUUCGGGUUGUAAACCUCUUUUAGCAGGGAAGAAGCGAAAGUGACGGUACCUGCAGAAAAAGCGCCGGCUAACUACGUG